AACGUAGGGGGCGAGCGUUGUCCGGAAUUACUGGGCGUAAAGGGCGUGUAGGCGGCUCGUGAAGUCAGGAGUGAAAACCCGGGGCUCAACCCCGGGCGUGCUUUUGAGACCAGCGGGCUUGAGUGCAGGAGAGGGAAGUGGAAUUCCCAGUGUAGCGGUGAAAUGCGUAGAUAUUGGGAGGAACACCAGUGGCGAAAGCGGCUUCCUGGCCUGUAACUGACGCUGAGGCGCGAAAGCGUGGGGAGCAAACAGGAUUAGAUACCCUGGUAGUCCACGCCGUAAACGAUGGGUGCUAAGUGUUGGGGGUAUCGACCCCCUCAGUGCUGUAGUUAACGCAAUAAGCACCCCGCCUGGGGAGUACGUUCGCAAGAAUGAA
rnacentral:rRNA from 1 species